UGGGGAAUUUUGGACAAUGGGCGAAAGCCUGACGCAGCCAUGCCGCGUGAAUGAUGAAGGUCUUAGGAUUGUAAAAUUCUUUCACCGGGGACGAUAAUGACGGUACCCGGAGAAGAAGCCCCGGCUAACUUCGUGCCAGCAGCCGCGGUAAUACGAAGGGGGCUAGCGUUGCUCGGAAUUACUGGGCGUAAAGGGAGCGUAGGCGGACAUUUAAGUCAGGGGUGAAAUCCAGGGGCUCAACCUCGGAAUUGCCUUUGAUACUGGGUGUCUUGAGAGUGAUAGAGGGAUGUGGAACUCCGAGUGUAGAGGUGAAAUUCGUAGAUAUUCGUGAGAACACCAGUGUCGAGGGCGACAUACUGGCUCAUUACUGUCGCUGAGGCUCGAAAGCGUGUGGAGCAAACA
rnacentral:rRNA from 1 species